CAGGAAAGGGCCACGAAGGCUCGCCGGAGAGCUCAAGCAGUUCAGCCUCCGCCUUCCGUACACCGGCCUCGCUCACCUUGCUCCUCCAUCUUAUUUGAAUAGACGAGAGCAAAUCUGGGAGAGAGAGAGGGAAGAGAAAAAUAGAGAGUAAAUCUAGAAGGAGAGUAAAUCUUGGAAACCAUCUUGAAAAGAGAAGUAAAUUGUACAUCUUGUAGAGGGGAGAAACAGUUGGUGGC
rnacentral:lncRNA from 1 species